UUUAGUGGCGGACGGGUGAGUAACGCGUGAGAAUCUGCCUUUAGGACGGGGACAACAGUUGGAAACGGCUGCUAAAACCCGAUGUGCCCUUCGGGGUGAAAUAUUUAUAGCCUGAAGAUGAGCUCGCGUCUGAUUAGCUAGUAGGUGCGGUAACGGCGUACCUAGGCGACGAUCAGUAACUGGUCUGAGAGGAUGACCGGUCACACUGGGACUGAGACACGGCCCAG
rnacentral:rRNA from 1 species